rnacentral:rRNA from 1 species
AGAGGCUACUGCUAUCGGGGUUCGAUUAAGCCAUGCGAGUUAAAUGUUUUUCGUAAACAUAGCGAACUGCUCAGUAACACGUGGAUAACUUAACCUUAGGUCCGGCAUAACCCCGGGAAACUGGGGAUAAUUCCGGAUGUAUCAAGGAUGCUGGAAUGCCCUUUGGUUCAAAGCUUUUGUGCCUAAGGAUAGGUCUGCGGUCUAUCAGGUUGUAGUGGGUGUAACGUACCUACUAGCCGACGACGGAUACGAGUUGUGAGAGCAAGAGCCCGGAGAUGGAUUCUGAGACACGAAUCCAGGCCCUACGGGGUGCAGCAGGCGCGAAACCUUUACAAUGUGCGAAAGCAUGAUAAGGGAACUCCGAGUGCCAGUAUCUAAUACUGGCUGUCCUUGUGCCUAAAACGCACAAGAUAGCAAGGGCCGGGUAAGACCGGUGCCAGCCGCCGCGGUAACACCGGCGGCCCGAGUGGUAGCCGCUAUUAUUGGGUCUAAAGGGUCCGUAGCCGGUUCGAUAAGUCCUCUGGGAAAUCUGGUUGCUUAACAAUCAGACUGCCAAGGGAUACUGUCGAACUUGAGACCGGGAGAGGUAAGAGGUGCUUCAGGGGUAGGAGUGAAAUCUUGUAAUCCCUGGGGGACCAUCUGUGGCGAAGGCGUCUUACCAGAACGGGUCUGACGGUGAGGGACGAAAGCUGGGGGCGCAAACCGGAUUAGAUACCCGGGUAGUCCCAGCCGUAAACGAUGCUCGCUAUGUGUCAGGUACGGUGUGACCGUAUCUGGUGCCGUAGGGAAGCCGUGAAGCGAGCCACCUGGGAAGUACGGUCGCAAGACUGAAACUUAAAGGAAUUGGCGGGGGAGCACUACAACGGGUGGAGCCUGCGGUUU